UACGAAGGGGGCUAGCGUUGCUCGGAAUCACUGGGCGUAAAGGGUGCGUAGGCGGGUCUUUAAGUCAGGGGUGAAAUCCUGGAGCUCAACUCCAGAACUGCCUUUGAUACUGAGGAUCUUGAGUUCGGGAGAGGUGAGUGGAACUGCGAGUGUAGAGGUGAAAAUUCGUAGAUAUUCGCAAGAACACCAGUGGCGAAGGCGGCUCACUGGCCCGAUACUGACGCUGAGGCACGAAAGCGUGGGGAGCAACAGG
rnacentral:rRNA from 1 species